UACGUAGGGGGCGAGCGUUGUCCGGAUUCAUUGGGCGUAAAGAGCUCGUAGGCGGCUUGGCAAGUCGGGUGUGAAACCUCCAGGCUCAACCUGGAGACGCCACCCGAUACUGCCAUGGCUAGAGUCCGGUAGGGGACCACGGAAUUCCUGGUGUAGCGGUGAAAUGCGCAGAUAUCAGGAGGAACACCGGUGGCGAAGGCGGUGGUCUGGGCCGGCACUGACGCUGAGGAGCGAAAGCGUGGGGAGCGAACAGG
rnacentral:rRNA from 1 species